UACGUAGGGGGCUAGCGUUGUCCGGAUUUAUUGGGCGUAAAGAGCGUGUAGGCGGCCAGGUAGGUCUGCUGUGAAAACUCGAGGCUCAACCUCGAGACGUCGGCGGAAACCAUCUGGCUAGAGUCCGGAAGAGGAGAGUGGAAUUCCUGGUGUAGCGGUGAAAUGCGCAGAUAUCAGGAAGAACACCCGUGGCGAAGGCAGUGUCCUGGGUGGCACCUGACGCUCAGGUGCGAAAGCUAGGGGAGCGAACGGG
rnacentral:rRNA from 1 species